rnacentral:lncRNA from 1 species
CCCGAACAUUUGUUUGGCUCAAGAUACCUGAAGAAAAACAACAAUUAAAUGAAUUUGAAAAAAAAUCAAGAUAAACAAAGGCAAUCUUUAAAUAAAAACCAAACUAUCUGCGCAAUCCAAAAAAUAUCAUCAAUAGUUUGUAAUUGACAAAUCAUCAAUACACUCAGCACCGCACCCAUCAGGACUCACAUCCUAACUGACGAUACAAACAAACGAAUUAAUAACCUGAUCAAUUUUUUUAAGUACUCAUACAUCAUAAUUGUGAAACACUUCUUUUAAUAUGGAGAGGGUUAGGGGAGACUGGACUAGAUAUUUAUGGAUGAUAAAAUAACAAUAGUUAUCGAGAGUCUUGAUCAAAAUUAAAUUGAAUUUUGAUGAAGAAAGUUAUUUGUCUAAAAUCAUAAGUCAACUUUUCAUUGAAUAUGUUAGCUAACUUUUUAACUUUUAAAAAGUAAUUCUCAUUCCACAUAAGUUGCAAAUAAUGAGAAGCAUGAUUAAUACAUAACUUCAGAUAACUAUAUUAUAAAACAUAAUAUUAUCCUAGUUGUACAGACUAUUCAGGGAACACUGAAAUGAAUAUGGCCUUUUUUAUUUUUAUACCAGUGUGCAAAAGAAAAAGUAUAAACAAGAUUUUACUGUCUGAUGUAUGUUGUUUUGAAGUGUGUCCGCGUGGAAGCUGUAACUGAUCGUCUCGAACUCGAAACAGAAAGAUUUGCUGCUGUCCCGGCUCCAGGAUUGGUUUUCCCCAAGUCAAAGAAAAAGAAACUUGGGAUUCAAGGAGAGAAAGUAAUUUUUUCAUAAAUUUUCUAAAGACCCUGAGCUUCUGAUCCAUGGAUUAUAGCAAUUAGAAGGCAAAAUUAGAGGCAAACCAUAAUUCCAUAAUGAGUAGUAGGCAAUUUUUGGAGAAAGAUUUUAUAAUUGAAAGAACAGAUACAAAUUAUUUUUUGAAACCAAAGACGUGAACCUAUCCAAAGAAGAAAACUUAAAGCAGAUGCUGUCCCAACAAUAUUUCCC